rnacentral:tRNA from 2 species
AGCCCUAUGGUGUAAUGGUAGCACACGAGACUUUGACUCUCGUAGAAUAGGUUCAAAUCCUGUUAGGGUUG